GACGAACGCUGGCGGCGUGCUUAACACAUGCAAGUCGAACGCUGAAGCUCAGCUUUUGUUGGGUGGAUGAGUGGCGAACGGGUGAGUAACACGUGAGUAACCUGCCCCCUUCUUUGGGAUAACGCCCGGAAACGGGUGCUAAUACUGGAUAUUCACUGGUCUUCGCAUGGGGGUUGGUGGAAAGGGUUUUUCUGGUGGGGGAUGGGCUCGCGGCCUAUCAGCUUGUUGGUGGGGUGAUGGCCUACCAAGGCUUUGACGGGUAGCCGGCCUGAGAGGGUGACCGGUCACAUUGGGACUGAGAUACGGCCCAGACUCCUACGGGAGGCAGCAGUGGGGAAUAUUGCACAAUGGGCGCAAGCCUGAUGCAGCGACGCCGCGUGAGGGAUGGAGGCCUUCGGGUUGUGAACCUCUUUCGCUCAUGGUCAAGCCGCAACAAUGGUUGUGGUGAGGGUAGUGGGUAAAGAAGCGCCGGCUAACUACG
rnacentral:rRNA from 1 species